rnacentral:rRNA from 1 species
GACGAACGCUGGCGGCGUGCUUAACACAUGCAAGUCGAACGGAAAGGCCCUGCUUUUGUGGGGUGCUCGAGUGGCGAACGGGUGAGUAACACGUGAGUAACCUGCCCUUGACUUUGGGAUAACUUCAGGCAACUGGGGCUAAUACCGGCUAGGAGCUCCUGCUGCAUGGUGGGGGUUGGAAAGUUUCGGCGGUUGGGGAUGGACUCGCGGCUUAUCAGCUUGUUGGUGGGGUAGUGGCUUACCAAGGCUUUGACGGGUAGCCGGCCUGAGAGGGUGACCGGCCACAAUGGGACUGAGAGACGGCCCAGACUCCUACGGGAGGCGGCAGUGGGGAAUAUUGCACAAUGGGCGGAAGCCUGAUGCAGCAACGCCGCGUGCGGGAUGACGGCCUUCGGGUUGUAAACCGCUUUCGCCUGUGACGAAGCGUGAGUGACGGUAAUGGGUAAAGAAGCACCGGCUAACUACGUG